GAUGAACGCUAGCGAUAGGCUUAACACAUGCAAGUCGAGGGACCGGCGCACGGGUGCGUAACGCGUAUGCAACUUGCCUCACAGAGGGGGAUCACCCGUCGAAAGACGGACUAAUAACGCGUACUGUGAGAUAGGCAUGCGUCCCAUUAGCUAGUUGGUGAGGUAACGGAUCACCAAGGAAACGAUGGGUAGGGGAACUGCGAGGUUGAACCACCACACUGGGACUGGGACACGGACCAGACUGCGACGAGAGGCAGCAGUGAUGAAGAAUGGGCAAAGGGCGAGAGCCUGAACCAGCCAAGUCGCGUGAAGGAUGACUGUCUAUGGAUUGUAAACUUCUUUUGUAGGGGAAUAUGUACCCUACGAAUAAACAACGGCUAACUCCGUGCCAGCCGCCGCGGUAAUAC
rnacentral:rRNA from 1 species